AUCUACUAUACAUUUUUGCAGCAGUUUUUGGGGUCCCCAAUCGGGUCGGAUUUUUUGAUUUUGACCCGGAAACAAGUCUCUCGGAUCUUACCUUAAUUAUGAUUUUGACCCGAAAUCUCUCAAUCGAAUCCUACCAUAUUUGAUGCUCCCUACAUUCAAGGCAAAAAGCAUUUAGUUUCUCAUAAUUGAAAGAUAUGGAGAAUAUAUAUAGUUAUAACAAAUUGAUCCAAAUCGUUUCCUAAAUAGGUGCUAAUGAAUUAAGUGC
rnacentral:lncRNA from 1 species